rnacentral:lncRNA from 1 species
GUUCUCUUUAAGUUGCUCCAUGAUAGCUUGUCGACGUCCUCGUGUAUCGUACCGAAAAGUCAGCUUUGGAGAGUGGUUCUGGAAGGAAAAAAAGGGGUGGAUGGAUGAGUUUUUUUUUGUUUUUCUGUUUCGAAAGAUGCAUAUGAUGCAUGCAUUUUUUUGUUAAAGCAAAGCUCUUUUUAGUUAUUCAUGUUUAUUCAUUGCAAUAACUACUUGACGAUUCUCGUUCACAAUCAUGAAAUAGGAAAACACAAUAGAGAAAAAUCGCAACUUUCAUUCAUCCUUUGAAGGGAAAAUAG